CAAAGUUGAUCGAAGUGGUCGAUAUAUAAGAAGACCUCUCAGGCACCCACAACCAGCGUCUGAUCGGCACCAACCCCAUUCCAGGAAGAGGUCCAGUCUGCCCCGGGUCAGAACCACUUCUAUAGCAACUACACAACUGUGUAUGCACUUAUCAUUAUUGAUAGCCAGUCUGAGCCAGAAGACACAAUGGAGCAAAGCACAGAAUACCUGACUGCGGCACACUUUGUUGCAGAACUCUCUGCAACAAUAACAAAUACAUCUUGCAGCAGGUUCAAUAUUAACAGAGCCAGUGUGU